rnacentral:rRNA from 1 species
ACGGAGGAUGCGAGCGUUAUCCGGAUUUAUUGGGUUUAAAGGGUGCGUAGGCGGAUCAAUAAGUCAGUGGUGAAAUUCUGCAGCUUAACUGUAGACUUGCCAUUGAUACUGUUGGUCUUGAGUAUGGUCAAGGUAGGCGGAAUGUGUAAUGUAGCGGUGAAAUGCUUAGAUAUUACACAGAACACCGAUUGCGAAGGCAGCUUGCUGGGCCAAUACUGACGCUGAUGCACGAAAGCGUGGGGAUCGAACAG